GAAACUUACCAGGCCAGGACAAUUAAAGGAUUGACAGAUUGAUAGCUCUCUCUCGAUAAAUUGGGUGGUGGUGCAUGGCCGUUCUUAGUUGGUGGAGUGAUUUGUCUGGUUAAUUCCGAUAACGAACGAGACUCCGACCAAUUAUUGAUGUAGCCGCAUAAAGAUCAACGAUAGCUUAGGCGUGUCAACGAUCGCGGUUGCAAAAAGAUAUGGGAUUAGCUAUAGUAAAUAGCACGAGAUAGAGCAAUAA
rnacentral:rRNA from 1 species